GAUGAACGCUAGCGGCGUGCCUAACACAUGCAAGUCGAGGGAACGGACGAGGAACUUGCUUCUCUGAUUUUAGCGGCGCACGGGGGAGUAAAACGCGGAUAAAACACCUAUAAGACAGGGAUAAAUCCGGGAAACCGGCGCUCAAAUAGGAUGAAAGUUUGCACCGUAUGGUUCAAAAGUGAGAGAAGGUCUUGCGGACAGGAAUAGAAGGAUUCGCGCUGCAUUAGCUUGUUGGUAAGGUAACGGCUUACCAAGGCAACGAUGCGUAGCCGAGCUGAGAGGGUGGUCGGACACACUAGAACUGUACCGCGGUCCAGACUCCUACGGUACGCAGCAGUGGGGAAUCUUCCGCUAUGGGCUAAAGCCUGACGUAGCACCGCCGCGUCAGUUAUGAAGGUAUUCGGAUCGUAAUACUCUGUUACUAGUGAAGAACAUAUGUGUAAGUAACUGUGCACAUCUUGACGGUACCUAAUCAGAAAGCCACGGCUAACUCCGUG
rnacentral:rRNA from 1 species